rnacentral:rRNA from 1 species
CCUACGGGAGGCUGCAGUGAGGAAUAUUGGUCAAUGGACGAGAGUCUGAACCAGCCAAGUAGCGUGAAGGAUGACUGCCCUAUGGGUUGUAAACUUCUUUUAUAAAGGAAUAAAACGAGGCACGUGUGCCUUUUUGCAUGUACUUUAUGAAUAAGGAUCGGCUAACUCCGUGCCAGCAGCCGCGGUAAUACGGAGGAUCCGAGCGUUAUCCGGAUUUAUUGGGUUUAAAGGGAGCGUAGAUGGGUUGUUAAGUCAGUUGUGAAAGUUUGCGGCUCAACCGUAAAAUUGCAAUUGAUACUGGCAGUCGUGAGUACAGUUGAGGUAGGCGGAAUUCGUGGUGUAGCGGUGAAAUGCUUAGAUAUCACGAAGAGCCCCGAUUGCGAAGGCAGCUUACUAAACUGUGACUGACAUUGAUGCUCGAAAGUGUGGGUAUCAAACAGGAUUAGAUACCCCAGUAGUC